rnacentral:rRNA from 1 species
UACGAAGGGGGCUAGCGUUGCUCGGAAUCACUGGGCGUAAAGGGUGCGUAGGCGGGUCUUUAAGUCAGGGGUGAAAUCCUGGAGCUCAACUCCAGAACUGCCUUUGAUACUGAGGAUCUUGAGGACGGGAGAGGUGAGUGGAACUGCGAGUGUAGAGGUGAAAUUCGUAGAUAUUCGCAAGAACACCAGUGGCGAAGGCGGCUCACUGGCCCGUAACUGACGCUGAGGCACGAAAGCGUGGGGAGCAAACAGG